AGCAUAUCAAUAAGCGGAGGAAAAGAAACCAACAGGGAUUGCCUUAGUAACUGCGAGUGAAGCGGCAAAAGCUCAAAUUUGAAAUCUGGCGUCUYUGGCGUCCGAAUUGUAAUUUGGAGGGAUAUCUUCGGGGUUGGCGCCGUCCUAAGUUCCUUGGAACAGGACGUCAUAGAGGGUGAGAAUCCCGUGCCUGGGCGGCUGUCCGGCCCCAUGUGAAGUGUCUCCGACGAGUCGAGUUGUUUGGGAAUGCAGCUCAAAAUGGGUGGUAAAUUUCAUCUAAAGCUAAAUAUUGGCGAGAGACCGAUAGCGCACAAGUAGAGUGAUCGAAAGAUGAAAAGCACUUUGAAAAGAGAGUUAAAAAGUACGUGAAAUUGUUGAAAGGGAAGCGCUUGCGACCAGACUCGAUCUUUGGUGAUCAGCCGGGCUUCGGCUCGGUGCCCUCACCUUUGAUUGGGCCAGCAUCGGUUCCGGCGGUGGGAUAAAAGGAGGAGGAAUGUGGCUCCCUUCGGGGAGUGUUAUAGCCUCCCUCACAAUGCUGCCAGUCGGGACCGAGGACCGCGCUUCGGCUAGGAUGCUGGCGUAAUGGUCUUAAGCGACCCGUCUUGAAACACGGACCAAGGAGUCUAACAUCUAUGCGAGUGUUCGGGUGGAAAACCCUUGCGCGUAAUGAAAGUGAACGGAGGUGUGAACCCUUUACGGGGUGCAACAUCGACCGGUCCUGAUGUCUUCGGAAGGAUCUGAGUAAGAGCAUAGCUGUUGGGACCCGAAAGAUGGUGAACUAUGCCUGAAUAGGGUGAAGCCAGAGGAAACUCUGGUGGAGGCUCGCAGCGGUUCUGACGUGCAAAUCGAUCGUCAAAUUUGGGUAUAGGGGCGAAAGACU
rnacentral:rRNA from 1 species